CUUUCUAUAAUGGUCAUUAUUUUGUUUAUCACCUUCUGAAUUUUUUAUUGUAAUCUUUAUAUUCCUUAGAUGGACGUUAAUGAUCUUUGUUGCCAUCUGUAUUCUGAAUUCAAUUUCUGCCAUCUCAUUCUGUGAAAAACCAUUGCUGGGGAACUAGUGUGAUCAUUUGAAGGCACAGGAAAAGGUCACAGGUCAAUCACUCCAGCAGAAUUGUAGAGGAACUCUUCAUUGGCCGGCAGAGGGGGCUCCUUGAAGAAGGUGGGAAUUCCUCCCAGGUUAAAAGUCCCUGUCUCCCUCAUCCAAGAGGAUUUUCUCUCUGGGAU
rnacentral:lncRNA from 1 species